CCCAAGAACGAGGAUCCCAAACACAAUAAACUUGAUUGACAAAGUUUCAGAAGUUGCAACAACUUGGAUUGCUUAAUAAAUUUCAAAAUAUUCCUCAACUUAAUACACACCUUUUCUGAUCCAAAUACAUUUCACUAAUCAAAGUCUACAGCCCUACAACUACUUGGGUUGGCUACACAAAACACCGCUCAAUUAAUUGUCUUUGACAUGCCUGCCUCUCAAAUCUUACAUAGGUGUUUCUAGAUUUCAUUUCUUGAUGUUCCCUGAACUUUGAUAUGAAUAUCAACUGCCUUCAUUAACUUAUUCCAAGCCGCGCCAUCUUCGGGUUACUGGUAUAUUAUGUUACGCUGGAAAAAGGACAAAAGGUUAUAGUAUCAUACUUUUUGCUUCUCAGAACUUGCAGGCAAGAAAGGCUCCCACCACCCAGACUCAUAUUUUGGGCAUGGGGCCACCCAGUUUUCUGGCUUCUCUAACUCUAGUUUGACAGGAUUAGAUGCCAAUGCUUCUUCUAGACUGUCAGCUUCAUAGCUGUUGCACAGACUCGGUGUCCAAUCUCAAUUUCAUGAACCUGCCUAAAUCCAUGUCCAAAGUCGUAGUGGAUCAACAGAGAGACUGUUUCUAAUUUGUCAAUUCUUCAGUUGUUUAUAAACAAGAAAAAGAAACUGUUGUUCAUUCCUUGUAAUAUACACAUUGUUAUCAUACCGCAAAAGACUAUACAAUUCAACUCAAAACUCCCAUCUCCAUAGAGUUCUAGACACAUGACCUGAAUGGGGCACAUAAAAUUUUUAGGUAAGGGUUAUUGUAUUUGUUGGAGCUAACUAUAUACCCGGUUAAAUCAAACUAAUAAUUUUCAUUAUUUUGCAGCAAAUAGAAUGUUUGUUGAUGCAAAAGCCAAAAACUAGGACAUGACAAUAUUCAAGUAAAUAAUUUGGAGUAUGAAUGGUUAAAUUUGGAGUGGUCUUACGUGAUCCAGGGGCCAUUGGUUGAAACAAGAGCAACGGCGGGUACGCUCAGCCAAUUGCUCCUGAAAAAAGUUCCUCUUCAUCCAACAUGAAUUUUGCGUUGGCAACAACAAAGUAGUAUUUGUUGCUGCUUGCUUGUUCCUGCAUUGCAUUGUACGUUCAAAUAAAGAACGAGUAUAAUAAAUAGAUAAAGAAUUAGUCCUUCAUCAGUUGAAAAGAGCAAUCUUUAUGAUUGUUUGAAUAAGGUUGAUUGUUUUUAGACUUUGGGGGUAAUUGAUAUGUUCUAUUAUAUCAACUUCUAAGUAGCGAUUGUCUAAAGUUAAGUGUAUCAAUUUAGCCAUUAGUUCAAUUCCAGUUAGUAUAAUUUCCGCACCGUCUCUAUGUGUGUGUGUAUAUAUAUAUAUAUAUGUUAACAUCAAGUUUCGCCGGCGCGUCCAAUCACAGAAUCCAUGCGCUAGAACCUGCACAAUAACAGAUCACACAGAAGCUUGACGGCUUGUGCCGCCGGGGGAUAGCUCCGGUGUGAAAAUAAGUACAGACCGUUUACAAGGUUUAACAAUGGAGGCUAAAUGUUUAGUGCUCAAAAGUAGGUAUUACCCGUUAAUUGUAACCUUGGCCUUGUAUUUAUAGUGCUCUCCACCUUUAGAACCCUUCUCCGAGUCGGAUUAGGACUCCUAGUAGUUACCAUAACUCGGGUCCAACACAAUCUCCUUAAAAGGUGCAAGUGGAAUCCAAUCCAAUCACUACUUUUACCUUUGGAGUUACCUUAUUUAACUAUGGCUAGGACCCCAAACUCUACACGAGGGAGAGCCCACUGUGCAGGCUCAAACAAUCCCACCAUCUGGUCUGGGCUUCGGCCCAAAGGAAUCGAAGACCCGACCCCGAACACCACACGACAGGGUAAGGCUCCGGCCCGAGGGGCUCGGAUACCGAACCUGAAGACACCCACUAAGAUGAGGCUCCGGCCUAAAAGGACUCGGACGCCGACCUGAACAGCUCCAACCUCUCCAUGGGCUUCAGCCCGAUGGUCUCCUAAAGCCCUUCUAACAUCAGGCCUUCGGCCCCCGUGGAGGUCGGUAAAAUGCUCCCGAACAUUGCCCCCAGUCUCUAAUUGUAAGAUACUUAUAAUUGGAGACUUGAAAGGUCGGGUAUAUGAAAGGUCACGACAGCUAAUGAUGAGUUGUCUGGGGACGCCAAACGGUCUGUCCUCGCUUCUCGAAACGCUGCACGCCUUCCCAUGCUUGGUCCCACCUUGGACAUUUAAUAGCCGCCCUUAGGUAACGUGCACUUACGCCUAUAAAAACCCCUUUCCCCCCUCAUUAUCACUUUUCCUGAAUCUUCUCAUCAUAGCAUCCUUGUUCAAAUUUUUCCGGCAAGGGCGAUUUUCGGCGAGCAUCCUGUUCUUCAUUUCUCUGUAAUUUUGGCGACUCUACUCCUUUUUGAACUUCAUUUUCUUCUUAAAACUUCGCAUUUGUGUCUCAUUUCCCUUGAUCAAAUGGUUGAUUCUAGCAUUCCUCCCCCUACCACUGAAUCAAUUCCUCCCUCCGUCACCACCGGCGAUCUGGUUCCCGUGGAUUUGCCGGUAGCUCCUGUCGACGCCUUUAUCUCCUCGGUUCCUUCUACUUCCAUAAGUGCCGAGGCUAGGGUCCGAAACGCAUAUCACUCUAAAGAGGAGUUUUCUCAUCUUCACACCCCUUCCACCAUCACAUCCUCUCAACUCUCCGACGUCCGAAUCCUUUACAACAUCCCUCCUGAAUACAAACUUUGGUCCCCGAAGCCCGACGAGAAGAUGUUCUGGAGGCCUGACGGCGAGUGGGUGGCCGUCCCCCUUUAUAUUCUGAAAUACAGGAUUCGGUUCCCCCUUCACGAGUUCAUUUACUCCUUUCUGAAUUUUGCUAGAAUCGGAUUCGCACAACUCGUGUCGAAUUAGUACAUCCAUCUAGUUUCUUUCGUUGCACUAUGCCAAGAGAUCGGGAUCACUCCUGGUCUCGAUUUCUUUUUCGCCCUAUUCACUAUUACCGGCUCGAAAGAGCCCGGCCUACGACAAUUAAACAAACGGGCCAACUGACUCGUCAUCAUCAGAACCCCUUCGAGCAACAAGGGGUGGCACGACAAGUGGAUCUUUAUCCGAGGAACCGACCUUCAACUUCUUCCCAACUGGGCUCAUCCCGAGGACCCCAUAGCCAAGGUGUUGAAGUUCCCGAAGGAUCGAGCCGAUGCCUUCAAAGCUUUCUACAAAAAAUGGAGCAAAACCGAGUGGAGCCUGACAGUUUUGUCUAGUGAAGCCUGGCUGUACAAGCAUGGAUGUAAGUAUCUCCCUUCUUACAUUUUCAUCUUUUGUCUCAGAUGUUUUAUGUCUUUACCCAUUCUCUUCUGUGCAGUGACAAUUUUCAAGCCCGAAGGGACCGCUGAAUCCCUAGCUCCUCCCCCGAACACAAACGAGCCUAUCCACCUGCCGAUCACCGACGAGAUGGCCGGUGGAGAAACCAUCUCGAUUGUGGAGCUUUCAACAGGUUCCACUUUGGGUCCUACCCCUCUAGCUCCUCUUGCCGAGCCCACCACCAAGAAUGCCCUGAAGAUGAGCCGAGCGGAGAAGGCGGUUCUGUUAAAGAAAACCAAGAAGCCUUCCGCCAAAGCUCCCGCCGAUUCCUCCCCCCGCUCAAGUCGGGGUGAUCGAGGAUUCAGAGGAAACCGAUGAAGUUCCCCUCGAACCACGACCCAAAAAGCCACGCCUCACCGAAGACCUGGAGCCACAACACCCCGAACAACAAGUGGUUGAGGCCGACCCCCAACCCACCACCACCCCCACCUCCAAGGCGAGUUCGUCGCAAGGGACGCCGACCACCUGUUGGCUGAAGAACCCAUCGCAAGUAUUUCCCUUUAAUCUGUUUGAUCAUUUCAAGCUUUCGGACGAUGACGAACGGUUUAAGGGAUUCACUUCCGAAGAGUUUCUGGUGGCUUAUGUUCGGGCUCAGUGCCAGGUAAUUCUGAGGACCCUUAUCAUAAUUUUGUACCCUUAUACUUUAAUUUUCAUAGCUGAUGUAUACAUUUGCUGUAGGCCAAUGCUAUCCUUGCUCGAGCCAUUUCUCCCCUCGCUCAAACUACUAAAAAAGAGGUUCAGCUGAGGUCGGACGUGAUGCUGCUUGAAGCCGAGAUUCGAGGCCUGAACUCGGACCUGAAAAAGGAGCGGGAUCUCCACGCUGAGACCCGGAAUAAGGCGACCCGUGCUGAACGUCAAGCCGACGAGCUCAAAGAUCAAUACUCGCUACUUCAGCAGGAAUUCAUCGGCCUCGAAGGCCACGCCAAGAAGCUUCUGGAGGAGAAGGUCCAACUGUUCGAGGAGAGCGAGGAACGGUUGCAAGCACUUCACCAACUUGAGGCAAAGUUCGAUGGGACCCACGAGAAAAUGAUGUAUCUGAUUCGAGAGAAUAAUGCCUUGAAGGAGGAAAGUGUUGGGGCCAAGCAGCGUACAAUCAAGGAGUAUGAGGAGUCCCCUGCCUUGACCGAAAAAAUCAUGGCCCAGUUCGCUGAAGGCUAUUAGACUUAUCAGGAAAAGGCGCGGGUCAAGUUGAAUGCUGUUGGGCUUGAUGCUUCCGUUCUCGACUCGUCGGACGAGGAAUCUGAAUAGGGUGAUGAGCCUCCCCCAGAAUAGCUUUGGCCAAGACUUGUAAAUUUUUUGUACUUUUUAUUUGUACUUUGCCUGAAUCGUAAGCGAUCGGGUUUUGUAAAACUUCAAAGUAUGAAUGAAAUAGAAAAUUUUUGUUUAUAAAUUUUUGUAAUCAGUUAUACUUGUGACUUAUCUCGAUCAGUGGUAUUUUCCCGAACCUCUUGAUCGGAUAAUGCCCGAAGCUUGCCUGAAUAAAAAAUUUACAAUUUUCUCGAUCAGUAAUACUCGUGACGUAUCUCGAUCAGUGGUGUCUGCUCGAACCUUCUGAUUGGAUUGCGUCCGAAGUUUUUCCGUUCGAGUAUUAAAAAUCAUAUGAAUAUAGAUGAAGUUAAGCAUCUCCAAAGGAAACUUUCAUUUAUUUCAUUUAAGAUUGAAAGGUUACAUGGAUAAAGAAAAGAAUGACAUAACUAUUACUGGUAAAAUUUUCUAAGUCUCUCAGCAUGCCAUGUAUUCUUUACUUCCGAACCAUCCAUUGCUCGAAGCCAAUAUGUACCUGGCUUCGGCACCUCUACCACCUCAUAAGGUUCUUCCCAGUUAGGCAUCAACUUGCCAGUGUUCUGGGGGGUUGAUGCCUCCGACUCCCGGAGGACCAAAUCGCCUACUGCAAACCUCCUCGGCUUCACCUUUUGGUUGUAGUGUCGGGCUGUUCUCUGUUGAUAGACAGUCGACCUUAACAUAGCAGAGUCCCGAACCUCUUCCAGCAGAUCCAAAUUCGUUUUCAAACCAUCAUCGUUGUAUAGCUCUUUGUACCGACUGACUCAAAGAGUGGGGGAUCCGAUCUCAACUGGUAUGAGUGCAUCGGUCCCGUAUACCAAUCUGAAUGGGGAGUCCCCGGUUGUUGUCCUCGGAGUAGUCCAAUAUGCCCACAAACUUAGUAGCUCUUCAGGCCACCGACCCUUCAAUUCAUCCAACCUUCGCUUUAUCCCGUUGAGCAGGGUUCGGUUUGUCACUUCUACUUGACCAUUCGAUUGAGGAUGAGAGACCGAGGUCUUGCGAUGCUGAAUUCCCAAUUCCCUCAAAAAACCCUCGAACCUUGACCCCACAAACUGUCAGCCAUUAUCUGAGACCAAUGCCAUCGGGAUGCCGAAACGAUAAACGAUUCCUUCUUUGAAAAAUUUCAAGCAUUCUUGUUCGAUGAUCUUAUGUAGUGGUUUGGCUUCGACCCAUUUCGUCAUAUAGUCGAUAGCCACGAUCACAAAGCUAACUUGUCCCUUGGCCUUCAGCAGAGGUCCUAGGAUGUCGAUUCCCCAUACAGCAAAGGAAAUCGGGGAUAAAAUCAAAUACAACUCUUCGGGAGGUUGAUGUGGGAUAGCGCUGUUCAGCUGACACUUGGGACACCUUCUGACGAAUUCCUUAGUCUCAGUGUAGAUAGUUGGCCAGUAAUACCCCUGCCUCAAAAUCUUGUGCGCCAAUGACUUGGUCCCCAUGUGAUCCCCACAAAUCCCUUCAUGUACCUCCCUUAGUGUAUAGUCUGCUUCCGAGGGAGUCAAGUAUUUGAGUAGGGGAAAAUUGAAAGCUCUUCGGUAUAGAUCCCCAUCAAUGAGGACGAAGUUUGAGCUUCGGUGUUUGACUUGUCUUGCUAGGAUUCGGUCCGAAGCGAGGAUCCCAUCUGCCAAGUAGGAAAUGUAAGGCGUGAGCCAGCAGUCAAGUCGGUCCAGAGCUAACACUUCUGUCUUCGGAACACUGGGCCGUUCUAGAACCUCCAGGUAUACCGAUCCGUUGAAGGAGCUUGCUUUGGUGGUUGCCAAUCUCGCUAGGGCAUCUGCUAUUGUAUUAUCUGACCGAUCCACCCCCUGACAACUGUGCGAUGCAAAGUAUGCGAGCUUAUCCUUUAUUUCGGCCAGAUAUUUUGACAUUCAUGCCCCCCGAGCCUCAUACUCACCCGACAACUGCUUGACCACCAGCUGAGAAUCACUGUAGAUGACCAACUUUUGUACCUCCAAGCUCCGGGCUAACCGUAUUCCUGCUAGGAUGGCCUCAUAUUCUGCUUCGUUGUUUGUGUCUUUAAACUGAAAUCGGUUCGCCUACUGGACUUUGAACCCUUCGGGACUUGUCAGAAUGACCCAUGCUCCACUGAUGUCUGAAGUCGAUGAUCCAUCCACAUACAACGUCCACGAGGUUGGCCUUUAUUGAGUUUCGGCCACGAUGUUCACGUCUGACUCUGUAAAGGAACACUCUUCCACGAAAUCUGUUAAGGCCUGCCCUUUGAUUGCCGUCCGGGGAUGGUAUUUUAUUGCAAACUGUGUUAACUCCAUCGCCCAUGCGGCCAACUGACCUGAUACCUCUGGCUUAUGCAAAAUCUUCUUUAACGGUUGAUCUGUGUACACCACUAUUAGUCGACCCUAGAAAUAGUGCCUGAGCUUCCUGCUGACAAUUAUUAAGGCAUAUGCGAACUUUUCCAGGUUCGGGUAUCUGAUCUUUGCGUCCCAAAGUACGUGGCUGACGUAGUAUACCGAAAACUGCUUUCCUCCCUUGUCUCGUGCCAAUGCUGUCCCAACUGCCAUCGGGCUUGCAGCCAAGUAUAAAUAUAAGGGUUCCGAAGGGAUUGGUUUCAUCAGCAAUGGUGCCGAAGACAGAUAUGUUUUGAUCCCUUGGAACGCAUCUUCGCAUUCCGACGUCCACUGAAAACUUUUCUCGUUCUUCAGCCCCUUGAGGGUGUCAAAAAAGGGUAAACAUCUUUCGGCUGACCUUGACACGAAUCUCCGAAGGGCAGCUAUUCGACCCGUCAACCUCUGCACAUCUUUGAAUGUCUUUGGAGAUUUCAUGUCUAAGAUCGCCGAAAUCUUCUCUGGGUUGGCUUCGAUUCCCCUUUUGCUGACCAAGUAUCCCAGAAAUUUUCCUGAGCCCAAACCGAAGGUACAUUUGGUCGGGUUCAGUCUCAAUUUGUGUUUCCUUACUGUUUCGAAGCAGUCUUCUAGGUCUUCUAAAUGAUCUCAGACUAACAUGCUUUUUACGAUCAUGUCGUCCACAUACACUUCCAUACUUCUGCCCAACUGCUUUCUGAAUACAAAGUUCAUCAUCCGUUGAUAAGUUGCCCCUGCGUUCAGCAAUCCUAAUGUCAUCUUCCGAUACGCAUAUAUAGCCCGAUGUGUGAUGAAGCUUGUCUUCGGGAUGUCAUCCUUGCUCAUCGAAAUUUGGUGGUAUCCCGAGAAAGCGUCCAUGAAACUUAACAUUCCAUACCCUGAAGUGGCAUCAAUGAGUUGGUCUAUGUUGGGUAGAGGAUAGAAGUCUUUUGGGCAUGCCUUAUUCAGAUCCGUGUAGUCGAUGCACAACCUCCACUUCCCAUUUUGCUUCUGAACCAAAACCACAUUCGCCAGCCAUUCGGGAUAGUCGAUCUCGAAUAUGAAUCCCGCCUCCAACAGUUUACCAAUCUCUUCAUCUAUGAUCCUCUGUCUUUCCGGGGCGAAGAUCCUUCUUUUCUGUAUCACUGGCUUCCUCUUUGGGUCUGUAUGGAGCCUAUGCAGUGCUACCGAUUCGCUUACCCCUGGCAUAUCGCUAGGCUCCCAAGCGAAGAUAUCGGCAUACACCCGAAGCAAAUCCACCAGACCUGUUUGUAGCAGUUCUGUUAAUCCUGCCCCAAUUUUGAUCAGUUUUUUCGGAUUUCCAGGUAUCAACUCCACAUCUUCUGUCUCUUCUGCCGGCAGUGCCGUUGGUUCAGUACUGCUCUCAGUAAAUGGCUUUAUCUCGAUGGCCAUUGUCUGUUUCUGUUUGCUGACCCCGACCCCUGAGGAAAUCAAAGUGUUCCGAUAACACCUUCGGGCAAUGUCAAGGUCACCUUUUUCCUCCCCGAUCCCGUUCGGUGUCGGAAACUUGAUUUUGAAGUGAGGGAUGGACGUGACUGCUUGUAAGGCCGCCAGUGUCGGCCUGCCCAAGAUGGCGUUGUAAGCCGAAUCCACUUGUACUACAAAAAAAUUCACCAUUAUUUCUGCUUGUUGAGGGGCUGUGCCGAACCUGACUGGUAACUUGAUGGUGCCUGAGACAUGCACCGGGUCCCCGCUAAAGCCGUACAGUGGGCCUUCUCCACCCAAUUCCAUCUUCUUCCCUUCUAAAUCCAUCCUCUGGUAGGCGUGCGUAUACAGUAUGUCGACCGAGGAUCCAUUAUCGAUCAUCAUCCUUUUCAUGUCUACUGGCCCGACCUGUGCAGUUAUUACCAGCGUCCCGUCAUGUGGUUCAAUAUGAUCGGUAGGAUAGUCUUCAUCCGAGAAUGAGAUGGAUACUCCUGAAUAUGCCCUAUCCUUUCUGGGCGAUGAGCCAGCUACCGACAACACGGCCUCGAGAUGCCCACUCCUCUUCCUUCCAGUUACACGCCCUACCAAUCUGCCUGAAAUUACAUCAAUUACCCCUCGGGCUUCUAGGUGCGGUUGCGGCUAUGCUUCCUGAGUCAGUUCCCUGUUCUCCUCCCGGGGGGUUUCCGAACCUUCACGACCAACCACAUACUGCACCAGUUGCCCAUUCUGGACGUUCUUCUCUAUCAGAUCUUUCAGGUUGUUGCACUCCUCCGUCGUAUGCCCCCGACACUGAUGAUAUGCACAAUAUUUGUCCCGACCCCUCUUCCCAGGAUUCGGGAUCGCUUGGCAUGGUUCGAAAAAGGGCUUGUUCCGCAUCUCCUCUAAUAUCUUCACCCGGUCAGUGUUGAGUGCAGUGUAGACUUUAUUAAUAUUCUUGUUCGGGAAAGGUGGUCGUCCGCUGCCCGAACCUCCCCCAUUGUAGCUUUUCUUACCAUAAUUAUUCGACCUCCCCUGAUUAUCUGGCUUCUGAUAACUCUGCUUAUCUCGAUCCUUUGAAUUCUCAUAAGAUUGGGAGUGCGGUUUGAAGUUCCCCAUCGCCUCCUCUAUUGCUAUGUGACCCUCGGCUCGGUGGAAAGCUUCUGUCAAGUCAGCCGGAGGGUUGAUCACCAAAUCCUUCAUCAACUUCUUCAACUUCCCGAUGUCCAGGCCAGUAGUGAAAAAUCUCAGGGCUUGCGGGGAGUUUAACUCUGCUACCGACCCCAUAUCCACUCGGAACCUUUUGACGUACUGUCCUAGGCUUUCAUCUGACUUCUGUCUGACCUGCAUGAGUGAAGCUGUGAUCUUUCCUCGCCUCUUGUUACUCCCGAACCGAGCAUGGAAUUUCUCCCGAAGAUCAUUCCAUGAAUUAAUUGAUCCCACCGCCAAGGUCCCCAUCCAUUCUCGGGUGCUCUUCUUCAGAGUGGUUGCGAACAUGUGACACUUAGCCGCAUCAGAAUGGCCGUAGUAUGUCAUCAGCCUGUCAUACCCGUCUGAGUGGUCAUACGGAUCCCCCAUCCCAUCGUAGGUCUCCAUCGGGGGAAUCUUCUUUUUGGGGUCGGCUGUCUCCUGAUUGAUCUCCGGCGAGAAAGGUGACCCUAAGUAAGCCGAAGGUGUCCCCAACGCAUUUUUAGCCGACAACAACUUCUCCAAUUCAGCCACCCUUCGGGCGAGGGGGUCGGACUCCUCCUUAUGAGGGGACGAUCGGGGUCUGUCCCUCCCGUAUUCAGGGGUCGCGUCCCUCCUCCUAUGUCCCGAUCUGCCCGGAUGGUCCGAUCUUCGAUCUGGUGAACGGCUCCUCAUUCUACUCCGGCCUUCUCGUGACCGACUGCGAUGCCUGCUCCUUUCGUUUCCAACCUCUCCCCGUCGAGCUGAACGGGAUCGGCUCUGAUGCCUACGCCUUUUUGAGGUGGCUUCCUGCUCUCCGGCCACCUUCGCCAUCUGCUGUUCGAGUUCCUCUUGCUGAAAGCGUAGGGCCAGCAUGGCGUCCUUGUUCUGUUGCAUCUUUUUCAGCAGAAUGAACUCCCUCUGAUCUUGGCUGUUCUCCCCUCGGUCCUUCCCGCGAACCUCCAACGCCCGAGAACGGUUCUCAUCCGCACGACUAGCCUGGUUGGGAGUAUGAUGGCUGUCAUGAAAGAGUCUUCGCCGGAGAGAAGCAGUCAGUUCCUCCUGAUCACCCUGAACUCGAGAGUCCGGUAUAUCUUUCACCAACCCCCUCACCAGUGUGGUUUGGUGGGUCUUUGCCUUUUUCUGGUUAGAGGCACUGUUCUCCUUACUUGUCAUGGCCUGUUACCGGAAAAGUUGGGUUGUGAUUGUAAGAAUACUAAAGCGCCCUCCUUCUAGCGCCAAUGUUAACACCAAGUUUCGCCGACGCGCCAAUCACAAAAUCCACCCACUAGAACCUGCACAAUAACAGAUCACACAGAAGCUUGACGGCUUGUGCCGCCGGGGGAUAGCUCCGGUGUGAAAAUAAGUACAGGCCGUUCACAAGGUUUAACAUUGGAGGCUAAGUGUUUAGUGCUCAAAAGUAGGUAUUACCUAUUAAUUGUAACUUUGGCCUUAUAUUUAUAGUGCUCUCCACCUUUAGAACCCUUCUCCGAGUCGGAUUAGGACUCCUAGUCAUGGUAGUUACCAUAACUCGGGUCCAACACAAUCUCCUUAUAAGGUGCAAGUGGAAUCUAAUCCAAUCACUACCUUUGGAGUUACCUUAUUUAACUAUGGCUAGGACCCCAAACUUUACACGCGGGAAAGCCCACUGUGCAGGCCCAAACAAUCCCACCAUCAGGUCUGAGCUUCGGCCCAAAGGACUCGAAGACCCGACCCCAAACACCACACGACAGGGUAAGGCUCCGCCCCGAGGGGCUCGGAUACCGAACCCGAAGACACCCACUAAGAUGAGGCUCCGGCCCAAAAGGAUUCGGACGCCGACUCGAACAGCUCCAACCUCUCCAUAGGCUUCAGCCCGAUGGUCUCCUAAAGCCCUUCUAACAUCAGGCCUUCUCCCGUGGAGGUCGGUAAAAUGCUUCCGAACAAUAUAUAUAUAUAUAUAUAUAUAUAUAUAUAUAUAUAUAUAUAGAGAGAGAGAGAGAGAGAGAGAGAGAGAGAGAGAGAGUAUAGCACCCACCUUACCUAAAUGGAAAGAAAAUAAAGGGGGAAUAAUUAAGAACAGGAGUGAACCUUUUCAACAGGGUCAGAUGAGUUGAUGGUGGCUACAGCUGUCGUUACGGAUGUGAAGGUGGAGGUGGAGGUGGUGGUAAGCUUGGACAGGUGUGUCCGAUGGUGGAGGAGAGAGAGUUUUGUGGGGAUGCUGAUCGUAUCUACAACUAUAUCGAUAGUUAUGGGUGAUGGGCUUACUAACCACCGAGGAGGCAGUGAAGCAAUUAGACGCCAGAUUCAUCAUUUUUGGGAGCUUUGAUUCGAUACGUAAACUUAAAAAAAAAUUAAACUGAUAUUUCAACGUUUAUAGUGACAUUUUUUAUGUAAAAAUAUAUAUACGAGUGAAAAGAGAAAUAUAUAUGUGCACAGCUAUGACGACCAUUUUUGGCUAUAGAAACUGUUUUACCCGUCCCCAUAACUAUUCUG
rnacentral:lncRNA from 1 species